UGGGGUGUAGCUCAGUUGGUUAGAGCGGUGGACUGUUAAUCCAUGUGUCGAGGGUUCGAGUCCCUCCUCCCCAGCCA
rnacentral:tRNA from 1 species